UACAGAGGUCUCAAGCGUUGUUCGGAUUCAUUGGGCGUAAAGGGUGCGUAGGCGGCUCGGAAAGUCGGUCGUGAAAUGCCGGGGCUCAACCCCGGGACUGCGUCCGAUACUCCCGAGCUGGAGGCAGGUAGGGGAGAUCGGGAAUUCCUGGUGUAGCGGUGAAAUGCGCAGAUAUCAGGAGGAACACCGGUGGCGAAGGCGGAUCUCUGGGCCUUGCCUGACGCUGAGGCGCGAAAGCUAGGGGAGCGAAC
rnacentral:rRNA from 1 species